CCCUUCGAUGUUCUGGGCUGCACGCGCGCUACACUGAUAAAGUCAACGAGUUUACAACCUUUUCUGAAAGGAAUGGGUAAUCUUUUGAAUCUGCAUCGUGACGGGGAUAGAUUAUUGCAAUUAUUAAUCUUCAACGAGGAAUGCCUAGUAGGCGCAAGUCAUCAGCUUGCGUCGAUUACGUCCCUGCCCUUUGUACACACCGCCCGUCGCUCCUACCGAUUGGGUGUGCUGGUGAAAUGUUCGGAUCGGCCGUUUGUCGCGGUUUCCGCGGCUCGUGGCUGAGAAGUUCAUUAAACCCUCCCACCUAGAGGAAGGAGAAGUCGUAACA
rnacentral:rRNA from 1 species